rnacentral:rRNA from 1 species
GAUGAACGCUGGCGGCGUGCCUAAUACAUGCAAGUCGAGCGAACGGACGAGAAGCUUGCUUCUCUGAUGUUAGCGGCGGACGGGUGAGUAACACGUGGAUAACCUACCUAUAAGACUGGGAUAACUUCGGGAAACCGGAGCUAAUACCGGAUAAUAUUUUGAACCGCAUGGUUCAAAAGUGAAAGACGGUCUUGCUGUCACUUAUAGAUGGAUCCGCGCUGCAUUAGCUAGUUGGUAAGGUAACGGCUUACCAAGGCAACGAUGCAUAGCCGACCUGAGAGGGUGAUCGGCCACACUGGAACUGGAACACGGUCCAGACUCCUACGGUAGGCAGCAGUAGGGAAUCUUCCGCAAAGGGCGAAAGCCUGUCGGAGCAACGCCGCGUGAGUGAUGAAGGUCUUCGGAUCGUAAAACUCUGUUAUUAGGGAAGAACAUAUGUGUAAGUAACUGUGCACAUCUUGACGGUACCUAAUCAGAAAGCCACGGCUAACUACGUG